rfam:Xiphophorus maculatus strain JP 163 A Contig172.47, whole genome shotgun sequence.
AGGUUAAUGCUAAUCGUGAUAGGGGUUGUCUAUUUCCUGACACCUAACAUGGUAGCAUUAUCUU